rnacentral:rRNA from 1 species
GAUGAACGCUAGCUCCAUGCUUAACACAUGCAAGUCGAGGGGCAUCAGGAAGAAAGCUUGCUUUCUUUGCUGGCGACCGGCGCACGGGUGAGUAACACGUAUCCAACCUGCCCUUUACUCGGGGAUAGCCUUUCGAAAGAAAGAUUAAUACCCGAUAGCAUAAUGAUUCCGCAUGGUUUCAUUAUUAAAGGAUUCCGGUAAAGGAUGGGGAUGCGUUCCAUUAGGUUGUUGGUGAGGUAACGGCUCACCAAGCCUUCGAUGGAUAGGGGUUCUGAGAGGAAGGUCCCCCACAUUGGAACUGAGACACGGUCCAAACUCCUACGGGAGGCAGCAGUGAGGAAUAUUGGUCAAUGGGCGCUAGCCUGAACCAGCCAAGUAGCGUGAAGGAUGAAGGCUCUAUGGGUCGUAAACUUCUUUUAUAUAAGAAUAAAGUGCAGUAUGUAUACUGUUUUGUAUGUAUUAUAUGAAUAAGGAUCGGCUAACUCCGUGCCAGCAGCCGCGGUAAUACGGAGGAUCCGAGCGUUAUCCGGAUUUAUUGGGUUUAAAGGGAGCGUAGGUGGACUGGUAAGUCAGUUGUGAAAGUUUGCGGCUCAACCGUAAAAUUGCAGUUGAUACUGUCAGUCUUGAGUACAGUAGAGGUGGGCGGAAUUCGUGGUGUAGCGGUGAAAUGCUUAGAUAUCACGAAGAACUCCGAUUGCGAAGGCAGCUCACUGGACUGCAACUGACACUGAUGCUCGAAAGUGUGGGUAUCAAACAGG